UCCAGGUACAAUAGAUCCUCCUGCCCCCGACAGCGCAUCACAGAGCAUCGCAGGCGCAGUGGCUUCCCUCGCAUCUGGCUCAUCUCAAAAAUGAUGGACUAUUCAUGCAAGAUAUAUAUCUCUGCCAUGACUGGCAUGCCGCUGGCUAGAGAUCCACAGCCAGGAUGUUAAGAUUUCCAAGGUGUACUGCACUUCUGUCAAUGUCCUGUCAUCCUGACCUUUCUCGAUGAGUUGAGGAGAACGCUCAUUUCAUGUCCGGGAUAAACUCAACCAGACUGUCAUGCCAUCUGGAGCGAUGGGGCACCCUAGUGGCCUAAACAGGCCAAUGGAACUCCCCCUUCAUUUGCAUUAGAGCUCACAAUCUUUUAAACUAAGCAACUAGAAAUAAUUAGCAUAAUAACAUUAGUCAUAUCAUAAUACCAGUUGAGAAACCUUUUGUGAAUGAAUGGGAUAAUUGUAUCUAGAAAGGCACAGACAACUAAACAUCUAGUAAUUCUUGACUUUAAAGGCCAGGUGGACCCCAUGAAGUACUCCCAAAUUGUAUACAUUCACCCGUGAGCUGUAAAGUACAUGUUUGGCAUUUUUGAGCUUAUGGAAUAGUUUUCUCCAUCCAAACUGUAUGACUCACUUGUUGCACCUCAGCUAACCAAACAGGAAUUUUUAAAAUCUUAUCCUCUGUUUGGCUUGUUUUUUCCUGCUGUCCUGGGAACCACUGUGUAGGCAGCUAAGAGAAUAAACAGCCUCUGGGGACAGAAUUCCUACGUUCAUGUCAAGCUGCCUCCCUCAAAGCAGGAUGACUGAGCAAAGUGAUUAACUCUGUGCCUUACUUUUCCCAUCUGUGAAAUGGGGAUAAUAGUAGCAGACAGUUUGUAGUCUUGUGAGAAUCAAGCAGGUUCUUAAAACAAUGCCUGGAGCACAGUAAACGCUAGUUACUUGCCGUUACUAUUAUUCCUCCCAGGCUGCAGGCACAUCCAUCAUCUGCCCCAUCACAUUCUGCCUAUAUGUGAAUCCUGGACUUUAGCAUCUGUGUGCUUUUGUAUGCCCCAACUCACAUAUCUAAGAGUCUAUGGAAAAGGAACUGUUUUAAGGAACACAGUAUUCAUAAAAUCCUACAUCUAAGUCUAUGGAAUAGAAUUCCACAUCAAAGGACCUCAUUUCCUAUAUGCAACUGUUGUGCCUGAGAUUUUUAACUGGAAAUACCUAUCACAGGGUAAUAACAAGCAGCUUAAUCUCUUUGAGGUCACUUUCCAAAGAAUUGAGGGGAAAAUUUUGAACCCGUCUGCAAAAUUUGUUGAAUCAUUUCCCCCCAUCGCAACUGUACAAGAAAUGAGCUGUAAUUAAUUUAGUUAGGUGCCUUGAGGGUGAAUCAGCCACCCACUGGAUUAUUUGGCAAGAAAAUUAUUUCAGGUGAAAAUAAGAAUAUUUGUACGUACAAGAGGGUAAAGUAGAAGACUUAAAAACCUUAAAGGGAAGAAGUCCCAAGACUACAGCAAACCAUUAAUAGCAGCCAUGCAAUUCAUUCAGAAGAAAAUGGAUUACUGACUUCGGGAUCAAACUGUGUAAACCUGAAUAAUCACAUAAGCAGCUUCAGUGAUUAGCUUCAGCAUGAAGACUUUUUUCUUCCACAUCUCAUCUUUAGCUCCUUUCACAUUCUACGUGUGACCUGUAAAAGUCCACAAGACCCUGUCGCGCAAGCUUGUCAACUCACUUCCCACAUCAUGGGCCUUCAAGUGACACGUGCUCAGAUGCACAGCUGGAACUCCUGUAAUCCAGGGUGAGGGGAUGACAUGCCCUCACAUAUGUUAGCAGUCUUUCCUGAAGCUACCGUACUGCGGUGGAAGCUGCCAAUUCACGUUUUUAUAAGUAAGUCAUAAGUGGCUCAAACCAAUCUUUUCAAAUUAAAAAGUGUUUUGUAAAAGCCCACAGUAGAAAAAUAGAUGUUUUAUGAUUUCAGAGUUGAGCUAAAAAUGUUGUACUUGAGGGUUUGACAUGUGUUCUCAAAUACCGGUGAAGGCCACCAUAGGAAAAGAUAAUAUGCAAAUUUGUGCACCGUGCCUGGAGGCUCACUGUGAUUCUCACUGAGACCCAGACUGAAGGAUUCCGGGCGAUGAGGUUCAUUAACUUCACCUACUUGAAAAUAGCCAAGAAAAAUUCACCUAAUUCCCAUCUAUAGUAAAAUGAGGUUUAUGAAAGUUUAAUAAACUUUUAGUUCUAAAAGCAAAUAUUAAUUUAUUCAUUUGAUGCUUUUCUCUUAGAUUCCAUUUUGUUCCUGGAAUGAAACAUAUGACUUGUAAAAAUCAAGCAUUUUUCUACUUAUAAGGACAAUUUCAUUUAUUAAUGGCUUAUAAUAAAGAAUUUGUUAGCUAAACAAUCAGCUUAUUUGUCUGAAGAACACUGAACAGGUUCUUCAUUCAUUCGCUAAGUGUUCUUGGCCUUGACCUACUUUUCACUAUAAAGAUUGCUUUCUAGAUUUUCUAACUUUUUGUACCUAAUGUAAUUUGCCUAAACAAAUGAUGAAAGCUAACGUGUUCAUAUAUUUUCUUUUGGAGAAAGAGCAGGUCAACAUGUACACAAAAUGUUACAUCACAAGCAAACAUUGUAUUUUCGACCCCACCACUGGGACCACGGUGACUCCUCACCUUGAACUUUCCCGUCUCUGCCUGUAAAACAACGGCUACUGGCUGGAACAGCGCGGCCCUGAGCUCACCUGAGUGGACUGCCGCCCGCAACCUGUGAUGUAGGCUGAGACGCAGAUACAGUGGAACUGGAAGAAGGAUAACGUUGUGACAUAUUAUCAGGUGCAAAAAGCUCAACAUUGCCCCUGUGGUGAACACAUGAAGCGAUUCAGAGGCAGUGCCGUCUGACAGAACUUUCUGUGAUGUUGGGAAAUUCCACUCAUGCUGCUGCUGAGUAAUUGGAAUGUGACUAAUGACCAGGGAGCUGCAUUUUAAAUGUCAUUUAAUUUUAAUUACCUCAAAUUGAAAUAGCCACAGGAGGCUAGUGGCUCCUGCUUUGGACACCUUCAGCCACUGUCACGGUGGCAUAAACAGGCCCAGGACUGCUGCCGACAGCUGGCUUAUCAUCUGAGGCUGUAGCCACCAGUGUGAUUAUGCCUUAGGAACCCAAGACACCACUGGCUAAGUGACAGAGCCCCUCCCCUGGCCCCUGACUCCUAAUGCUGCAAAACGGAAGAGCACCCCUGCUCCCCCGGAUCAGGCAGGUUACCAUGCGUAUUCUUACAGAUGCAGGCAGAGCACAUUCCAGAAUGCAGGGAUUCAUCUCCAGCUGUAGGAGGUAUGGUCAUCAUAUUACAAAGUCAUCAGAUUAGGAAUCUUCUAAGAAAGAAUAAAAACUGCAGAUGGUACAAAAGGAACACUAUUAUGGACUGGCCCUUUUCCAAGCCUCCCAGCUGUGAGUGCCCCGGGGUGUGAUCAGUGAGGGGGAUGCCUGCAAGCACGUCGGCACGUGUGAGCUGAACUUAGUUUCAAGAACUUCAAUCCUACCGACCAAGUCUUGCACACCUAAUGAAGGUACCCAUGUAUUUUAAACAGCGCACAUUAACGGCAUUGUCAUGUCUCACUGUAGCCAGGUUUCACUAGAAAAUGCUACUUGCACACAGGAUGAAUCACAGUUCCUUAGGUAAAUAAAUGAGCCAAAAUACAAGAGCACAGCAAAGCCAAAAGACUAUUGACACCAUGGAGACAGAGGAAGGAGCACAGGCCGGAAGGCUUGAGCCAGGAGCCGACUCUCUCUAUCCUCAAAAAGGCUUUUUAUCCAUCACUUUAGGAAAGAAUAGAUCUUUAAGAGAAUUUUAACUGACCAAAAAAAAAAAAAAGGAGUCCAAGUGUGUGCAAGUGUGUGUCUUGGCAUCACAGAAGAAAGAAAACAGCAAAAGGGGAAGAUGACAUCAGAGAAAUCAUCUGGGGGAGGAGGGGUGUCUUCAGGUGAGAAAUGUGCACAGAGACGGGAAGUCGGAGAAGGAUGUCCAGUGGAAACAGCUCCUCUCCACCAACCAGAAAAGGCCGAUGGUCCAAACAGAUCAUAAAUACACUACCCACAAAAGGAGAGCAAACACCAUUCCCACAAUUGUUACUUUUGGACCUCUGUAUAGGAUUCCUGGCACAGAUCUCAAAAGGGUGUGUGGAAAUGAGAAGGAAGAUUUUUUGGCGUAUUGGAACAGGAAGAAUUCCAACCCCCCACGCUGCACCACAAUUUAUUUCUCUUUGCAGCAACAAUCUUCUAUAAUGUUUUAUGUCUUUUCUUGUGUAUGUAUUUACCAUCUGUCUUCUCAUGCUGGAAUGUCAACCCCAUGAGGGAAGAUAAUUUUGUUUGUUUUAUUUAUUGGGUAUCCCUCUGGGCCAAGAAGAGGGCCUCACUUUCAGCAGGUGAAUAAAUAAAAUCUGUGAAAUCAGUAAAUGUUCUGCAAAGUACUUCCCCUGUUGCUCACAAUUCUAAAAAAAAACAAGAACCAAGCAACACUAGUUACCUGGACUCAUCUAAGAAGUUUGAUGGAGAAUAAACUGCAGUUUUCCCGUUUGUGUCUCAGUAUUUCUUGGUCACCAGGGCAAAAUUGUUUGUUAGCACUUUCCGGAAGAUUCACGGACUGAAUUUUGCCAUGUCAUGGUCUCCUCUGUUGGAACCUUUCACUGACUGCAUGAUAAAGCAGGCUUAAUUUUUAAUUAGAUUGUGAUAACAGGGAAGCCUGAUGAAUCUUCUUAGCCUUUUAAUUAGUGACAAUUUACAUGGACCGGUGACCAGCUUUCUGAAUUGCUGUGGUCCAAGGCCCCUCAUGAACCUUGAAGUGGGAUGGGGGGUUAAAAAGAUGGUAGGU